rnacentral:rRNA from 1 species
UACGUAGGGGGCAAGCGUUGUCCGGAAUCAUUGGGCGUAAAGAGCGUGUAGGCGGCCCGGUAAGUCCGCUGUGAAAGUCCAGGGCUCAACCCUGGAAUGCCGGUGGAAACUGUCGGGCUUGAGUACGGAAGAGGCGAGUGGAAUUCCUGGUGUAGCGGUGAAAUGCGCAGAUAUCAGGAGGAACACCAAUUGCGAAGGCAGCUCGCUGGGACGUUACUGACGCUGAGACGCGAAAGCGUGGGGAGCAAACAGG